UACGGAGGGGGCUAGCGUUGUUCGGAAUUACUGGGCGUAAAGCGCACGUAGGCGGACCAGCAAGUUAGGGGUGAAAUCCCGGGGCUCAACCCCGGAACUGCCUUUAAAACUGUUGGUCUGGAGGUCGAGAGAGGUGAGUGGAAUUCCGAGUGUAGAGGUGAAAUUCGUAGAUAUUCGGAGGAACACCAGUGGCGAAGGCGGCUCACUGGCUCGGUACUGACGCUGAGGUGCGAAAGCGUGGGGAGCAAACAGG
rnacentral:rRNA from 1 species